GACGAACGCUGGCGGCGUGCUUAACACAUGCAAGUCGAACGGUGAAGCGCCUUCCUUUUUGGUGGGUGUGGAUGAGUGGCGAACGGGUGAGUAACACGUGAGUAACCUGCCCCCUUCUUCUGGAUAACCGCAUGAAAGUGUGGCUAAUACGGGAUAUUCUGGGUCUGUCGCAUGAUGGGUCUGGGAAAGAUAUUGUUUCGGUGGGGGAUGGGCUCGCGGCCUAUCAGCUUGUUGGUGGGGUGAUGGCCUACCAAGGCGGUGACGGGUAGCCGGCCUGAGAGGGUGGACGGCCACACUGGGACUGAGACACGGCCCAGACUCCUACGGGAGGCAGCAGUGGGGAAUAUGGCACAAUGGGCGCAAGCCUGAUGCAGCGACGCCGCGUGAGGGAUGGAGGCCUGCGGGUUGUGAACCUCUUUCGCCAGUGAAGCAGGCCUGCCUCGUUUGUGGGUGGGUUGACGGUAGCUGGAUAAGAAGCGCCGGCUAACUACGUG
rnacentral:rRNA from 1 species